rnacentral:rRNA from 1 species
GACGAACGCUGGCGGCGUGCUUAACACAUGCAAGUCGAACGGGCCUGUCUUCUUUUUUGGGGGGUGGGUUGAGUGGCGAACGGGUGAGUAUCACGUGAGUAACCUGCCCUUCGGUCCUGGAUAACCGCUUGAAAGGGCGGCUAAUACGGGGUGGUCCGGUUGGUCCGCAUGGGCUGGUCGGGAUAGAUUCACUGUUUUUGGUGUUUCGGCGGGGGAUGGGGUCGCGGCCUAUCAGCUUGUUGGUGGGGUGAUGGCCUACCAAGGCGGUGACGGGUAGCCGGCAUGAGAGGGUGGGCGGCCACACUGGGACUGAGAUACGGCCCAGACUCCUGCGGGAGGCAGCAGUGGGGGGUAUUGCACAAGGGGCGGAAGCCUGAUGCAGCGACGUCGCGUGAGGGAUGGAGGCCUUCGGGUUGUGAACCUCUGUUUCCGGUGGUGAAGGCCCUGUCCGUGUGGUGGGGUUGACGGUAGCCGGGGAUGAAGCGCCGGCUAACUACGUG